CCUGCACACAAAAACCCAAGGGCCAUUUCCUUUCCAUGUUAUGCUCUUGCCGUGUGUGCAAAAAGAAACACAGAACCUUGUCGCCUUUCAUAGGCUUUCAAACGUGCCACUGAAAGUGAAUUCAAGGUGCAACACAA